rnacentral:rRNA from 1 species
CACGGGGGUUGCGAGCGUUGUCCGGAAUUACUAGGCGUAAAGGGCAGGCAGGCGGAUCCAUAAGUUUAUCGUUUAAGGCGUCGGCUUAACCGGCGUAGGGCGGUAGAUACUGUGGAUCUGGAAUGCGGUUGGGGAAGACAGAAUUCCUGGUGUAGCGGUGGAAUGCGCAGAGAUCAGGAGGAAUACCGAAGGCGAAGGCAGUCUUCUAAGCCGUUAUUGACGCUCAACUGCGAAGGUGUGGGUAUCAAACAGGAUUAGAUACCCUGGUAGUCCCUGA